GGAGAUCCCGGCCGUUUUUCAUGUCCUGCCUAACUGCUGCUUUCAGUGAUUUUUUUUCCAUACACGCAAUUGGAAGACAAAUAACUGCCCCUUAUCCACCUAAGGAGAGGUGGUGAUUUGACAUAAUUAACUGCAAUUGGGUGUACUUUCAGUAUUUUAUCAGCUGCACAUUUUUGGAGUGGAUAUGCAUGGAAGAAAGUUUACCUGUGUUUAGUCAAAUUAAUCACAUAUUCAAUCCCAAAAAAAUGUUUUUUUGGAUAACCUGACAGUACUGCCUAUGAACAAUAUAAACAAAUAAUGUUCUUUUUUUUC